rnacentral:misc_RNA from 1 species
GGAAACCUAAAGUGCGGGACCUGCGUUGAGGUCAGCCGUUCGGAUGAAGACUGUUUAGGAUGAUGGUGGAGCGCGUGGAAGGUCAUCUCUUCAUGUAUCGACGCCCCGUCUAUCGGGUCUUCCAGUAUCUCGAAACCUCCGACCAUGAGGGGAUGAGCACUGGAGGGGAUGGGGGCGGCGUCGGCGUCCAGACCGGCGUCGGCGGAGGUGGUCGUGGAACCCCUCCGCACGGCUCGCCUACCCCAAUGGACAAGGCAACGCUCAAGGUUCACUUGCCCAAUGGGGGUUUCAAUGUCGUCAAAUUUGGUGAUGCAAUUGACGUUAGGGGGAUCAUUUCUCUCGUGACGAGCCGGCUGGCGGUAAGCACCAGGCAAUAUCGUCACCUCUACGCCAUGAGGUUACACCAUCCAGGAUCUGGGGAGAGCUACUGGCUUCAUCAGGACACAACCAUGUACCAGGUUCAAGAAAAAUACGAACGGAAGCAUCCUCAUAGCGAGUGGAGGUACGAAUUAAGGGUCCGAUAUCUACCGCAGAACCUUAACGAUCUCUACGAAAAGGACAAAGUUACGUUUUACUACUAUUAUGAUCAGGUGAGGAACGACUACCUGAGCGCAAAUCACGCCACCCUGGACCAAGAUGUUGCCGUACAAUUGUGCUGUCUUGAGAUUCGGUACUUCUUCAAAGACAUGCCGCAAAUUGCGCUGGACAAGAAAAGCAACUUGGAAUAUUUGGAAAGAGAGGUCGGACUCCACAAGUUUCUGCCCCGAACCGUUUUGAAUGGCAUGAAACCGAAGGCACUCCGCAAGCUGAUACAACAACAUUUCAAAAAAGUAGCCGCCCUUUCCGAACUCGAAUGUAUGUUCAAAUUCUUCGAACUUCUUCGAUCCUACUACAGAUUUGACCAGGAGAGAUUCAUAUGCGCAUUGGGGUCGAGCUGGUCGAUACCAGUUGAACUCGUGAUUGGACCUGACUUGGGCAUUUCAUACAUGGCACAUCGAGGUGGAACAGUGCCGUCGAGAAUAGCCGAGUUCUCGCAGAUCCAGUCAAUUCAGACUUUGGUGUCGGAUUGCAAGGAACAUGCAAAGGCCUGCAUCAAACUGAGAGUGGCAGGAGCUGCGGAAACCCUAAGUAUCACUUGCUCGAGUUUGGAUCAAGCAGAGAGUCUGGCAGACUUGAUCGAUGGAUACUGUAGGCUAACCACUGGGAGUAACACAUCUUUGUGGAAUAGAAAAGCUGCAUCCUGGAAAAAUUAUCCCUGCCCUUGUAAAGAUGCUCAUCCACCAAAGUAUAGGCAUGACGCAACAGACAGUCCCGAGAAAAAUUCCGGAAAAACAGGAACAAUUCUAUCUGAGGACUAUGCAGAGAUUGUCGACGAGGAAGGAGAUUACUCAACGCCAGCUACUCGAGACUACGAAAUUGUUAGAAAUCAAGUCGAGCUAGGUGAAAUAAUUGGAGAAGGUCAAUUCGGCAACGUUCACAAAGGAUCGUACAGAGGCCGAGAUGGUCAACUUGUAGCCGUUGCAGUAAAAACUUGUAAAGUCGACGCAGACCUCGCAACUGCCGAAAAGUUCCUCGAAGAAGCAUAUAUUAUGCAGCAAUUUGAGCAUCCACACAUAAUACGAUUAAUUGGUGUCUGCUCUGAGGCUCCGAUAUGGUUGGUCAUGGAGUUAGCACGGCUUGGAGAAAUGCGCGCUUAUCUUCAGUCCAAUAAGCACAGGCUUGAUGUAGCCACUCUUCUAUUGUAUACUUUCCAGUUGAGUACAGCUCUAUCGUAUCUUGAGAGCAAAAAAUUCGUUCACAGAGACAUAGCUGCAAGAAACGUUCUGGUAUCAUCGAACACUUGCGUAAAAUUGGCUGACUUUGGUCUUAGCCGAUGGGUCGAGGACCAGAGCUACUACACAGCGAGCAAGUGCAAGCUGCCAAUCAAAUGGAUGGCACCGGAGAGCAUAAACUUCCGUAGAUUUACAACAUCCUCGGAUGUAUGGAUGUUUGGAGUGUGUAUGUGGGAAAUCCUGAUGUUGGGCGUCAAGCCAUUCCAAGGAGUGCGGAAUAACGAGGUGAUACGGAAGUUGGAAAAUGGAGAAAGGCUAGAACUCCCAAAGCAUUGUCCUCCAAGACUGUAUUCUCUGAUGUCUCAAUGCUGGAGUUACGAGCCAAGCAAGAGACCAACUUUCAAAGACAUACGAGAAAAUUUGCAUGAAAUUUUACGGGAAGAAAAGCACCAGCAACAAGAGACAAUGAGGCGAGAGAAUAGGAGAGUUCAAGCAAUGUCUUGGGGUGCAGACGAAGCCCCACCACCCAAACCAUCACGUCAACCACAAAACUCAAGCGAAUCGGGAAGUGGCAUGAGCUCAGUCGCUCCAGUGUCAACAUACAUUGUUGCCCAGAGUCCGGAGGUACUUGCCCAACUUCUCAAGGACAACCAAUCUCGGGGGGUAUGUCCCUCCGUCUACACAACCCCCGCAUCCCCAUUUAACACACUCGCAGUGCAAUUUCAAGACGAGGAUCAAGCUCUAACUACCGCCAUCGCUACUGACCUACCCUUCGCCCUUGACCAAACCGUAUCUUCUGAAACCCCUGCCCUUCACCACGAUACUCAUUCGAUCGAAGACAUGGACUCUCUAGACAGCAAUGACACAAUUUCACCACUAAUGUCGAGCCUUAGUAUGUCCGAAUCUAGUAUAGUUGCACAAACCCAGUCCCCAGUUACAGGGAGAAAGCAUCAAAUUAAAGACACCCAAAACUUGUACUCUGUCAGCUCGAAGCUGGUGGGCAGUAUUACUGGCGAUUUAUAUGCUCCUGUGCAAAAACUCGUCACAUCAAAUCCCAUACCAAUAACUUCAUCUUCGCAGCCCGCAGGUACCUGCGGUGAAAUUUAUGGGCCGGUUGUUAACUUUACUCAGAGUUCUGCGAUCGUAGGAAACCUUAGUCAGAGUCCAAGUCUUGGUGGUAAUACCGGGGAAGGUUCAGGAAAUCAUGCGCAGACUGUUAGUGCCGACACGAUUGUUAUGGGACAAAUCCAAUACACGAAUAGCGCUCAUUUGCAAACAACCCAAGCUUCAUCUAGUUCAGUGAAUCAUUACGGUAAUUCCCCGAAUCAGUCAUACGUUGGUGGACAGAAUGCUGCUAGCACCGGUGCAGGUUACCCACGUAGUAGUGGUUUAUCCAGUGUGAGUAGUACAGUUCCUGUAUCAAAUACUGAGUGUCUCUACGGCCCCGUUAUGAAAUUUCGCGCUAGAGCUACGGUUCAAAAUCAAAGUGCAAAUCCAAUGUCCUCGACACCUCCAAGUGUAUCACAUAUUCAAAAUGCGAGAAGUAAUUUAGUGUAUAGCCCCAUGCCAGGACAAAAUUAUCAACCGCAACCAUUUUAUCCACAAAAUUAUCAAGAUCAAGAACAAGUCUAUUCUAACGUGGUUCAAGCACGACCACUUUCUUACGGGUCUCGAGCCCAGUCUGGUCAAAACUUUCAAAGACAAAGCUCCCAGGGGCAAUAUGUCAUUUAUUCGCAAAACCAGCAAUGCGAGCAACAAAACGGUGCAAAUCCUAUUUAUACGGUUCAUGCCACACCUACAUCUGUCGCCCAAGCUCAGUGUUUCAAUCAAGCAUAUUCAAUGCAAAGCGGUCCUACUCAUAGUCAGCCUUUUCAACAGGCCACACCCCCUCAACCUUCACAUCCCGUUCAGUCCUAUAUGAGUACUUCCAAUCAUUCAACUCAGCAAGAAUUAUUGACAACUUUAGCAAAUACUGAGGCCUCACAAAUUUCACAUCAACAUUCGGAUAGCUCAAUAUUGCAAAGUUCACUCUCUGGGGCAACGGGCGUGGUGAAAGGUCACGGCUCUCAGGUACACCAUUCUACCUCCAAUCCCAUAACGUCGCAAACAAAUCAACGUACCCAAGUAGCGACAAGUGUUAAUGUAACGCAGCAACAAAGUCUUCACACACAAUUGGCGACGGCAGUACCGAGGUCAAAUCCGCCCUUGUUGGCGACUGGGAUAGCAAAGAUAACUACGUUUGUAACUCAUAAAUCUGACGAACAGUUGACCCGUUCUAUCAACAGUGCGUUAUCUAGUUCCCUGGUGUCGUCAGCCGUUAGCGACAGCACUAUUUCGUCGACCAGUUCGGUGACGGAGGAAAGCCAACAAGAUCAGCGAAACACACAAUCGCAGGUGUUCGAUGGCGCUAUCGAGCACUUUGGUCAUAGUGUGGACGAUGAACAGAAAUUACUCGAACAAAGACUACUAGAACAGCAACGUCAGUCCGAAGAAGAUAGCAGGUGGCUCGCGAGAGAAGAGAAACGACUUUCGAUCGCAACUAGUGGCGAUGAAAGUGGAAGUCCUCUAGGACCUCGUUCGGUGACCCAAUCACCCAGUAAUGAAGCUACACCCGUCAACACAGGAUCCCUUGGUCUAGAUAAGGGCUCUGAUAAAGUUAUCAUCGUCAAGAAAAUGGAACCGACACCGACAGCCGAUUUAGAUAGGACUAACGACAAAGUAUAUGACUGUACAACGAGUGUCGUCAGAGCUGUUAUGUCUCUUUCCCAGGGUGUGCAACAAAGUAAAGCCGAACAGUAUCUUGAGCUGGUAAGAAAGGUGGGCGUGGAACUACGAGCGCUCCUCACAUCUGUGGAUUCUCUAAUGGAAAUCUUACCGGCAUGCGCGCAUCGAGAAGUAGAAAUGGCUCACAAAGUUCUGAGCAAAGAUAUGGCUGAACUUGUUUCCGCUAUGAAAUUGGCCCAGAGCUACAGUGCCACAACUUUAGAUGCAGAGUAUAGAAAAGGCAUGUUAUCCGCAGCGCAUAUAUUGGCUAUGGAUGCGAAAAAUCUUCUGGAUGUCAUUGACUCCAUACGAAUCCGUUACCCGUAUGUUAACGAACAAAUUUGUCAAAGAGUGGAGGGAUCUAGUGAGCCGGAAUUGUCUGUAGAAAAUAAAGUUCAUUCCAGCCAAUCUGGAGAGAUACUAAGAAGGAGUCAGUCAACCGAACGGCAUGGAUCAAUGUUUAGGCAAAGCCAAAGUGGAGACGUGUUGCACAGAAUGGGCCAAUCGGUGGAGAGAACACCUCAGGAUAGCCAAUCAGAUGUUAGUUGCAAUUCUACGAUAGAAAGAAGACAUCAUAUGGUGACGAACAGUUUGGAACGUAAUUCGACAGCAAGAAGACAAAUGGCGACUAAUAGUUUGGAGAGAAAGAGGCCGUCCCUAUCAUGCAAUAUGGGGAUUCCUGGCAAUCUGGCCAAUCUUCCGCCGUUGGUUCCGGUUUCUUGUAGCAUAGUCCAGUCAGCUACACCAGUCAUACAUCCGAGUCAUGUGGGUGGAACUGCAGUUGCCAACCAAUCUUCUUCCAUGUUUGCAGUUCACAAUGAAACGUACAAUGAAACAUCCAACGAAACGCUACCAAAUGACAGCUAACAACAGGACAACUUUAAUCCAGGUGAACAGCUUAGAAUUCCGUUUACAAGGUUGAAUACUGCUACAAAACAUUCUUGAUCGAUCGAUCGGAAAGAGUGUGACAGACUUAGCUUGUAUGCAGAUAAUCGCUAGGCAGUAACUACUAAGUUUAUGUCCUUCGAGUAGCAUUCUCACAUAUGAUCAGUGUUCCUGCUUCUUAGCUCUUUUAUACUUUUCAAUACAAAACCUUUUUGUCUGUGCGUACUUAUAGACAGGAUUGUAUUUAUUAGUGUAGUUUUAGAAAGAUUUUUUAGCAAAUAUGAAUCUAUAGCUACCUAUAUUAAAUUGGCAACUCAAAAAUUUUAGGAUCAUCGUGAACAUUUACUGUAAUAACAUCACGUGCAGAGAAUAACUAGAUCAUUUUUCAUUGCACAUAUUUCCGUAAGCUGAGACAUUUUUGUAAUUUAGAAAAGAGAAAUGUAGCUAAACUCACUAUGUGUGCGAGCUUGUUUGCGAUAUCAAAGGAAGUAGAAAUGGUAGUUCAGAUAUAUCUGACAGAGUUGCGCAAAUACCUGUACGUACAAUUAGUGAAAAUAGUAAAACUAACGCGACUUGAUUGAACACGUAGAAGGAAAAUUACAUUUCAAUGAUUACCCACACCUUCAUGGUUGUGUGUAAUAUACUCAGGAUCAAAAGUAUACUGUUAAUUGUUGCCAGAUGAAGAAUAGCUCGAGGUAUUUAACAGUCGCACGUAAAUAAAAGUGAAAACAUACAUGUUUGUAAAAAAAGCCCCCAUCAUCAGUUAUGAUACAUGACUCAGUUUUAUAGACAUUAUAAUUUUACAAGAUUGUUUUUAAAACAAAUUUAUCUAUCAAACUAACAAAACAAAAAUAUCUAUGCGUGACUAAUAAAGUUUUGUAAGGUAGAAUUGAAUCCCGACUGCACAAUUAUGUGUACAAUUUAAUCGAAGAAGUCCAUUCGCGGUAAGAUCCUACAGAUAUCUGACUAGCAUGUACUUGUUGUAAUACAUAUGGAAUCUAAAUGAAUAUUCGGUGCGUUGACAGCUCCUAAGACAAAUAUUUCUACGAAACUUCUAAUCGUAUUUUCUCCCCCUGUCACAAAAAUUUCUCACACUAUUGGAAAAUUGUCACACGUUUGGAGUAGAAACAUGACGAGGAUAAAGAAUUUGAUUUUCCAUUAGCAGAAAAAUGAUACGACCGCAAUGAAAAUUUUAAGAAAUCAAAUUUUUGCGUUGAUAUGAUCCUUCAAAACAUUUUCGUAGGAAAUUGUUUGGCUAACGUUAACUUGAGUUAUUCGCUUACAUCCAUAUUUUUGGUAACAUUAGCAGAAAAAUGAAUGUCCAAAUCACGAGUAUGUAACUGACCAAUAGCGGUAAACAAACGAAAAACAAUUGCUAAAUAAAAAUUCAAGUGCCAACUGAAAUAUAUUUAUUGCGAAAUAUUGGGAUUAUUACUGAUUGAAUAUUAUUCAUUGUCAUGCCUUUAUGACCACGAUUAGUAGACCAGUAUUUUAUAAUACGGAAAAAAAAUGUCACAAAGUAAAUUUGGUAGUGAUCAAUGCAUUAAUACGAAUACUAGAAGGAUUAUUUUUGAUUCGCAGUUGAAAACAAGGAUAAGUAUCUUGGUCUACAGUCCAUGAAUACGGAAUUCAAGCGGCCUAUGUAACACCACUAUUAUAUCACUUUCGGGAGUGGAAAUUAAUCGUAACUACCAGAGUCGUCACAUUUUUAAAUAUCAUUCCGUGUAGAUAUUGGCGGUAUUGGCCAAUAAAUCCCAUACGCUUAUUUUUAUGCUUCUCAUGCAAAAGCUAGAUAUUGCGCUACUAUAAGCGUCUAAUAUCAAAAUAUCGUAAUACGCUAAGCUAUUAGGGGCAAUUAAAUUUUCGAGUCAUUGAAUACUCCGCUUCGUGCAAUGGAUUUUGUACUAAGAGUGAGUUUGCUUUACUUGAUUUGAAAAAGAUAAGUGCGAAAAGUUACGUAUUGAGCAGUAAUCGAAGUACGUGUAUUCUUGCAUUUAGUCAAUUAUAUUUUCUGACUUGAAGAUGUAUUCAUACAAGAUUCAAUGCUAAGCAAUGGAUAAUAUUGAGACGUAUGGUGAUCCAGAAUUAACAUACUUCCCUUUACCAGUGGAUUCUUUCUAAAUAUGUAGCAAAAAUGACUAAUAAACAUAUUUCGAGGGAUUGAAAAUUUUAUAAUACAAGCUAUUUCCAUUACCCAAUUUUAUAACAGAAAUGAGCUGAUCCCUUCACAUGCAUAGGUAUGUAAUAAUGCAUUAGAAAUUUCAUUAUUAUACUUUUACAAGGAACCCACUGGCAUAGAAAGUUGCGAUCUUUUAGGAUCACCCAUGUAUGUGUCUGAAAGUAAACGCUAAAGAUUGCGAUUAUUGUAGUAUUUAUGAUUAUUAUGAUUAAAAAAAGAAUAAAUGAUAAUUAUAACACGUUUUUUGUAAAAAUCGAAAGGUUUAAACAAAUGUUACUAUCGAAAUUGAUAUAGUGAAUUGUACGUAAUUUAAAAAUAUUGUAAGAGUGUCAUGUCUGAUAACUUAUAAGAACUAGUUUUACUUAUUAUUUGUCAAUACUGCAUCGAUAUUCGAGAAGUCAGGUGAUUAAUUGCUACAUUGUAUAUAUAAAAAGAAUAAUUCAAGUCCGUCGAGAGGCAUGGCAACUCAAUGCAGUAUUAAUGAAAAUAAUGUAAUAGUAUAUCUUUAUUGAGUUGAUUCAGAAACAAAUAACCUGCAAUUUUCCACCAUGGUCACUCCUAACAAAUUUGUUUAGGUUGAAAGAACAAUUCCGUUAAAAGAUGAGCGUUCUACGUUAUAUCGAAGAUCGCGCUUAGUUGAUUUUUCACUUUUAUACAUUUUUUUAAAUUUAUGAAGUAUCAAUGAAAUUUUUUUUCUAUUGCUUACAUCAAUCAUAACAUCAAUUUAUGUUAGAAAAAAGACCCACACUUAUUAUAAUAAGUCUCUAGUUGAUGUUUGUGAAGUGUGUCUGAUGACAUCAUUAAAUCAAUCUCAUAAAAAAGUUAUAAUUUAAUAUGAACUCUUAAUUUAAAAGGAUAAGAUUCCCAGUUGAAGUGCAACACGUUAGUAAAAGUGAUACACGUUAUCUUCAAGGAUUCGAAAAAAUAUUUAAAAAAAAAGCUGCACAAUCAAAUGAGCAUGAUCUUCUUUUGACAGAAUCUUUCUUUUAAUCAAAACAAACUUUUUAGGGGUUGCCACGUUGGAAAAUUAUUUUUUUCUGAAAUACCCUAAUCUAUGUAUUCUUCAUUUUUCAUUUAUAAAAAGACAUUUUACUUCUUCAUAAUAUAAUAAAAUAUUGCAAAGUGACUUUAUAAUUCGUAAAAAUGUAAAUUUAUUUAAUUUUACGUUGAAUAAGAUGCUUAACAGUAUAAUUUAGUUUCUUAUCAUAUUAAUUGCAUCCUCCUACUGUAGAAGUGGCUAAGGAUAUACUGAAAUUUCAAUAGACAUUGAUCUGGUCUUGACGACGAUACCUGGCUGGUUUUAUAGCAAUGCAAUAUGUCACACCUCCACAACGGACGUUUGUACAACGUUGAUUUACGUAAAACACCAUAACUACUUAGCAAAUAUACAUUUCUGAUAUUUAUACCAUCAACUCUCGAACUUAUAGUGGUAGCGUAAUAACUUGAAAUGUACUAGUGCUCUGUUACAAUAGACAUCCAAGUGUUUUUUACACGCAAAAGUUCAGACUUCAUCCCUGAACGAAUUAUGGUGUUUAUCUAUAUUAUUUUGUGGUUUCGACCAUAAGCGAACAAGUGUCAGACCCUGCGACGAUCGCAAAUAGGCAACACACAGUCAGUAGAGGCAAAGUCCAACACCCUGAGCAUACAGCACUUGGACUACAGAAGACGUAAAAUAAAAGUAAAUGAAACCAAAGUGAUUAGUUGUAACGAAUGCCAGAUAUCUGGAUGAACAAUAACUAAUCAGCGUAGGUUGUUAAAGCUAAUAAUAAGACUACAUGCUUUCUCUAUCCAAUUUUAGCAAAACUAUACAAAGAUAAACGGCGAAGCAGAAAAAUUGCUAAAAUACAUAUUCAUGUAACCAGCAAUUGAAUGAAGUAUUGGAAUUGCAUAAACUGUAAUCUCAUUUAAAAAAAUAUUUGUAAAUUUGUGUAAAUGUUUAUUAUGUAUUAUGAAAUACAUGCAAAAUAAAUUAUGCAUAUGAUUUGAUCAAA